rnacentral:rRNA from 1 species
AACGAACGCUGGCGGCAGGCUUAACACAUGCAAGUCGAGCGCCCCGCAAGGGGAGCGGCAGACGGGUGAGUAACGCGUGGGAAUCUACCCUUUUCUACGGAAUAACGCAUGGAAACGUGUGCUAAUACCGUAUGAGCCCUUCGGGGGAAAGAUUUAUCGGGAAAGGAUGAGCCCGCGUUGGAUUAGCUAGUUGGUGGGGUAAAGGCCUACCAAGGCGACGAUCCAUAGCGGGUCUGAGAGGAUGAUCAGCCACAUUGGGACUGAGACACGGCCCAAACUCCUACGGGAGGCAGCAGUGGGGAAUAUUGGACAAUGGGCGCAAGCCUGAUCCAGCCAUGCCGCGUGAGUGAUGAAGGCCCUAGGGUUGUAAAGCUCUUUCACCGGUGAAGAUAAUGACGGUAACCGGAGAAGAAGCCCCGGCUAACUUCGUGCCAGCAGCCGCGGUAAUAC